UACGAAGGGGGCUAGCGUUGUUCGGAAUUACUGGGCGUAAAGCGAACGUAGGCGGUGUUCCAUGUCAGAGGUGAAAGCCUGGGGCUCAACUCCAGAAUUGCCUUUGAAACGGGAACGCUUGAGUCCGAGAGAGGAUGGCGGAAUUCCUAGUGUAGAGGUGAAAUUCGUAGAUAUUAGGAAGAACACCAGUGGCGAAGGCGGCCAUCUGGCUCGGUACUGACGCUGAGGUGCGAAAGCGUGGGGAGCAAACAGG
rnacentral:rRNA from 1 species